GCUGUUGUUUGUGAGGUCAUCAGUACGCUGGUUUCCUCUGAUCCAGGCUGGAUCUUUCUACAGACUCAUCGCUCCUAACACCCAGGAUCCCAGUGUUCUGAUUGGCUGUCGUGUUGCUGGGAGGAGUGGUGUAGUGCUCCAUACGAACCCCUCCCUCCUUGUGCGCUCUGAUUGGAGGAUCCACACCCUGACCCACCCACUCCUGACCACGCCCUACUCCCAGUUUGUUUCUCAGAAGGGCAUGUCUGUGGCUGAGGUCCUGGACUGCAG